ACUCAGCCGAGGGCAGCUCCACCCUGCAAGAAACUCGCAGCUCAAUUUGGAGCAAGUUUUGCUUGCUGAGGGGAGGCUGCUGUCAAUGGCACCGAAUGCCAAGCAAGGAAGCAGACCUGAUUCGUUUCUAGGCUUCAUCACCAGCUGCUUCUCCCUCGGCCUCCUCAGCCCCCAGCUGCCUGGGUUCGAAUCCCAGCUCUCUGCUCAUCAGGUGUGUAACCCUGGGCGAUGACUCCACCUCUGUGAGCUUCCACGUCUGCAGCUGUCAGCUCAGAAUCAAGAUGUCUGCCAGCCAAGAAUACCAGAAGCCUUGGUGGCAGGAAGGAGUGCUACCGCUGCCUGAGAACCACUGGUAACACCUUCCUGUGCUAAGGGCCCAUCGUCCUAACACAGGCUGUGCCUCAGGCAGAAGCUUCCUCUUCCUUCCUAUAUGCCCCAUCUCUGAGAUCACAGUAGGAGAAACCUCACCAUCACAGCCAAGACCGGAAUGCCAGUCAUGGAUCCAUCCAACCUCAUCCUUCCAUUGCUGAGAACUGUAAGCAUGGAGAGAGAGACCGCUGGCUAAGCCUGCACUCCUUUGUCCUCAUUCUGAGGGGAAAAAAAGCCAGAAGUCCUAGAGAGUUUAGCUUGCAGAGCCCAAUCUCACACACUAUAAAAUAGUUGGAGAUCUCUUACAUUUGAAAAAUCACAGCUGCAUGCUCUGCCUUCCAGCACCAGGCAGGAGAAAUGAGACAAACAAGCUUUGAAAAUAAAUCUGACUCUCUCGCGGCUCCGGAUAGCCGACAAGUGUUCGUCCAUCUGCCGCAAGCGUUCACACUGUGAAUUCAUUGAUUUGAUAAUACUCUCGCAUAAUUGAUUAAGGAGAGACUGGCUUCUUGACUUGCCUCCAUGUUUUCUGUCUGAUGUCUUCCCAGCAUUGCUCUCUGCUUUACGCAUGGCGAGGAAGGAGAAACCAAUGAUUUUUUCCAGCACUUUUCAAUGGGAUACAUGCAUGCUAUUGGUUAUCCCAAAACGGUGUAUUUUUCAAGUUCUUGAAUGGCAGCAACUGUUAGGUGUGUGCUUCUUUCCCCCAAAAUAUUUCUCCCAAUCUUCACAAUGCCGUCUUCAUCCUCUCCACCCCACUGCCCCAUUGUAUUUAUAGGAAGUGAAGAAAAACCAGAGGUCCAUUGGCGCCUAGCAGUCACCAUCGCCUGACACAGAGCGAUGGUAACUGCAGAAUUGUCAUAUGAGAUAUUAGCCCAGGGAAUAACACUGAUCCUUCUCCUAUCAGCAACUGCAACAACCCAUCCGCCUCUCUGCAAUUGUGACAUUCAGAUGUCACCACCAUUUCAUUAAAUGGAAUCAAAACA